GGCGGAAGGGUGAGUAACAGUAUCGAAUGUACCCCGAGGUGGAAGAUAGGCAUGGGAAACUGUGCGUAGUACUCCAUGAUCUCGAGAGAGCAAAGGCGCAAGCCUGCCUUGGGAGCAGCGAUAUUCCUAUCAGGUAGUUGGCGGGGUAAUGGCCCACCAAGCCGAAGACGGGUAGCCGGUAUGAGAGUACGGCCGGGCACAUCGGGACUGAGACACUGCCCGGACUCCUACGGGAGGCUGCAGUAACGAAUAUUCCGCAAUGGGCGAAAGCCUGACGGAGCAAUGCCGCGUGUGGGAUGAAGCGGUUUCGCCGUGUAAACCACUGUCAGGGGAUAGAAAAGAUGAUCAUCUCCAGAGGAAGGGGCGACUAACUCUGUUGCCAGCCGCCGCGG
rnacentral:rRNA from 1 species